rnacentral:snRNA from 1 species
AUCACUUCUCUGCCUUUUGGCUAAGAUCAAGUGUAGUAAAUAUACAAACAAUAUUGUAAAGAAUUUCUCAUUUCUC